GUCUCCUUCGUCUAGAGGCCUAGGACACCGCCCUUUCACGGCGGCGACACGGGUUCGAAUCCCGUAGGAGACGCCA
rnacentral:tRNA from 1 species